UAUUCGUGUUUUUAAGUCGGGUAUCAAUCGGUUUUUAUCGGGUCGAGUCUGUUCGGGUCGGUUCUUUUCGGUUCCGGGUUUUGGACCCAAUAGUUAUUUAUAAAUUUUUGUUUUGUUUAGGUUCGGAUAUUCAGGGUCGUUUCCGGUUCGGGUACAGUCCAAAUUAACAGCAAACCUCGGUUUCUCUCGGUCUCUGUCUCUGCUUCUUCUCCAAUCUCGAUUGAUGUUUGUUUAGAUUUAUUUUAGGGGAGAGGGUCAUUUCGUGCUUGGAGAUAGAAAGGUCUAUGCGUGCGUGCUAUGAUGUUGAUCAUGAAAAUUGAAAUUUGAAGAAUAUUAUAAUCAUGACGGGCACCAACAUUAUGAUAUGAAAAAAAGGGAAUAAUAUAGGAUGGUUCAGGAAUAAUCUUCUAAUUUUUUCUUUCUAUAAAAGAUUGAGAGACGUUUACCUUUUGGGGCGGCAUGGUUAGUAGUGGUAGUGGUGUUACACACCUUUUCUAAUAUCCCUCUCAAUGUUUGUAUUUUAGUUUUUCUGUUAUUUUAUUUUUGUAUUUCCCUUUUUUUUAGUUUUAUUGAUUUCUUGCAUAUCUUCUUAUGUUUUCUAUUAUGCCAAGCGGAAGGCACAAUUAACAUUAGAUAGUGGUCAUAAAGAUCGAUUUGCUAUUUUGUUAGAAAGGCAUACUGUUUAUUUUGUUUGACUUCUAAUUUUUGUGGAUUAUAAAAAUCAUCGAUGCUGUUGAAGUCUUGUUUAAAAAUAAUACUAAUUUACUAA